UACAGAGGUCUCAAGCGUUUGUUCGGAUUCAUUGGGCGUAAAGGGUGCGUAGGCGGCGCGGUAAGUCGGGUGUGAAAUCUUGGAGCUUAACUCCGAAACUGCAUUCGAUACUGCCGUGCUUGAGGACUGGAGAGGAGACUGGAAUUUACGGUGUAGCGGUGAAAUGCGUAGAUAUCGUAAGGAAGACCAGUGGCGAAGGCGGGUCUCUGGGACAGUUCCUGACGCUGAGGCACGAAGGCCAGGGGGAGCAAACGGG
rnacentral:rRNA from 1 species